rnacentral:rRNA from 1 species
CCCUUAGAUGUUCUGGGCCGCACGCGCGCUACACUGAUCAGUGCAACAAGCAUCCGUCCUUGGCCGACAGGCCCGGGCAAUCUUUGAACGCUGAUCGUGAUGGGGAUAGACUUUUGCAAUUUUUGGUCUUCAACGAGGAAUUCCUAGUAAACGCAAGUCAUCAACUUGCAUUGAUUACGUCCCUGCCCUUUGUACACACCGCCCGUCGCACCUACCGAUUGAAUGGUCCGGUGAAGCCUCCGGAUUGGCGUGCACCCUCGGGUGCUGCCGAGAAGUUGGCUAAACCUUACCAUUUAGAGGAAGGUGAAGUCGUAGCA